rnacentral:tRNA from 1 species
UCCUUAGCAGUCCAGUUUUUAGGACUCUGCACUUCCACUGCAGGGGGCACAGGUUCAAUCCCUGGUCAGGGAA